rnacentral:lncRNA from 1 species
AUCUGAUGGCGCACAAAAUAAAGGAUGCAUGGAAUCAUGUAAGGAAAUUAAGAUACUUAGUUAAGAAAGACUCUUCCUUCUUAACGCCAAAAUUAAAUGGGAUGUUAUAAUUAUUUAUGCGUGGCAUUUGGCAUGAAGGAGGUUGAUUUGAUAUGAAUCACUUCUAUAAAAAUCAGAUCAGCCACUUAUUUAAAUAUAGGUUUAAACCCAAUCACAUUAGGUCAAGACAACA